rnacentral:rRNA from 1 species
AGCGAACGCUGGCGGCAGGCUUAACACAUGCCAGUCGAGCGCCCCGCCAGGGGAGCGGCAGACGGGAGAGUAACACGUGGGAACAUACCUUUUGGUUCGGAACAACUGAGGGAAACUUCAGCUAAUACCGGAUAAGCCCUUACGGGGAAAGAUUUAUCGCCGAAACAUUGGCCCGCGUCUGAUUAGCUAGUUGGUGAGGUAACGGCUCACCAAGGCGACGAUCAGUAGCUGGUCUGAGAGGAUGAUCAGCCUCACUGGGACUGAGACACGGCCCAGACUCCUACGGGAGGCAGCAGUGGGGAAUAUUGGACAAUGGGGGCAACCCUGAUCCAGCCAUGCCGCGUGAGUGAUGAAGGCCUUAGGGUUGUAAAGCUCUUUUGCCCGGGAAGAUAAUGACGGUACCGGGAGAAUAAGCCCCGGCUAACUUCGUG